GGGGAAACCCUGACGCAGCGACGCCGCGUGUAGGAAGAAGGCUUCGGGUCGUAAACUACUGUCAAGAGGGAAGAAACUGUUUGGUUCGAAUAGGGCCAUUCACUGACGGUACCUCUAGAGGAAGCACCGGCUAACUCCGUGCCAGCAGCCGCGGUAAUACGGAGGGUGCGAGCGUUAAUCGGAAUCACUGGGCGUAAAGCGUGCGUAGGCGGCGCUUCAAGUCAGACGUGAAAGCCCUCGGCUCAACCGAGGAAUUGCGUUUGAAACUGAAGUGCUAGAGUCUCGGAGAGGUUGGCGGAAUUCCAGGUGUAGGAGUGAAAUCCGUAGAUAUCUGGAGGAACACCGGUGGCGAAGGCGGCCAACUGGACGAGAACUGACGCUGAGGUACGAAAGCGUGGGUAGCAAACAGGAUUAGAUACCCUGGUAGUCCACGCUGUAAACGAUGGAUAUUAGGUGUCGGGUUUUAAAUUCGGUGCCGCAGUUAACGCGUUAAAUAUCCCG
rnacentral:rRNA from 1 species